rnacentral:rRNA from 1 species
CCUACGGGUGGCAGCAGUGAGGAAUAUUGGUCAAUGGACGGAAGUCUGAACCAGCCAUGCCGCGUGCAGGAAGACGGCUCUAUGAGUUGUCAACUGCUUUUGUACAAGGGUAAACCUGAAUACGUGUAUUCAGCUGAAAGUACUGUACGAAUCAGGAUCGGCUAACUCCGUUCCAGCAGCCGCGGUAAUACGGAGGAUCCAAGCGUUAUCCGGAUUUAUUGGGUUUAAAGGGUGCGUAGGCGGAUUGAUAAGUUAGAGGUGAAAUGUCCGAGCUUAACUCGGGAACUGCCUCUAAUACUGUUGAGCUAGAGAGUAGAUGCGGUAGGCGGAAUGUAUGGUGUAGCGGUGAAAUGCUUAGAGAUCAUACAGAACACCGAUUGCGAAGGCAGCUUACCAAUCUAUAUCUGACGUUGAGGCACGAAAGCGUGGGGAGCAAACAGGAUUAGAUACCCCAGUAGUC